CUUAGAGGCACAACACAGACACUGACCAGCAUCAUUUUACACUGACAGAAAAAUUCUGGCUGGGUGAGACUGCGUGGCUUGCCCAAGGUCACACAGCAAGUUGGAGAUGAUUAGAUCUUACAGCCAGGCCUGCUGGUCUUCAGAAUCUGGUGUCCUUCCCAUCCAGCUGAGCACAAAGCCUGCAGCAGUGGCCUCGCUAAGCUGCGCUCACAAGUCUCCAGGGACCUCCACACAGAACUCAUUGGCCUUGGCCCAACUGUCUUAACAUAAAUAACCCCCAGGUUGACGGCACACGUCUUACAGAGCACAUCCGAUGGAGAGCCUAGAAGCAAACUGUCCUUCUGGAAAUUGCAUUAAGGGAGCACAUUAGAAUGAGGGGUUUCCAGAGAGCUCGAAAAAAAGGCCAGGAUAUUUUGGAGUCAAGGUCCCUUGUCCCUCCCCUCGCCACCGUCCCUGCAGGGGAGGGGAAGGUGAGUGUUCAGGACAGCCCAGCUGGAGGGAGGAAGGGGCUGAGUCCACCUGGCAGCCCCUGGAGGGGCUCAGUGUAGGUGCCGUGAGGUGGCAGGAGCCGGGCCACAAAGCGACACCAGUGCCCUCUGCUGAGGACUUCCUGUGGCGGACACUCCUCUGCCCACUUCACACCCUCGAGCUCAUUUAACUCAUUGAUAUCAUCGGUAUCCUCACCUCGCAGGCUUCACACUUUUCCUGGGGCCUCUGGGCAGCCUUCCAGACCCCAUCCCCAGGACUGACUGAGUUCCUGAGAUAGGAAAUGCAACCCGAGACGUGUGAAGAAAAAAACAGUGUGCUUAUUGUCACGGCCUCCACUCCUCGCUGGGCUCCCAGGCCGCCGGCCGGGUGCUCUGGGGUGUCUGCCCCGCCGCAGAGAAGAAUAAACCCAGACUCCAAUCAUAGGAAAUUCAUCAAAUGUGCUUCUCAGAGCUCUGUCUUUCAAGGUCUGCUUUCCUGCCAUAUGAUCUCUAUAAACCGAAUCACUGUGAGCCAGGGCACAGGACCAGAGGCGCCUGAGGCUCGCGGAUAAUGAAUGCCAAAUGCAUGUGACAAUGGACUGAUCAGGGAGCAGAAUGGAAAUGUCUGAGCUGUGCUUUUCUAUAUGUAUAUACACACACAUACAUGCAUACGUGCAUGUAUGCACCAGCGCACACACACACUCACACACACACACGCACAAGUCAAGCACACAGUACGUCUUAACAAAGGCCAACUGUGAUCCUUGCUGCCAGACUCAGUUAACACACUUCUCAGUAACUCUGUUAAAUUAUCAGGACAAAGAAGGAUACAAUGAAAGAGAAAAAAGUAUCAGAUCCCAGUUUAGCUGGGGACACUCGACAUGGAAGGAUCACGGAUUUGACGUAGAAAUUCAGAAUGCCUUUUGCUCAGGGAUGAGCAUGGGAGCCAACACACAGGGGAACCUCAACUGAAAAAUGAAAAUCAACCACUCAUUCUGGGCACCAGUGGUAAACGGGAGGAAUUGCGCUCCAUUGAAUGACUUAUUGUACGAUGACCCGAUAAUGGUUUCUACCCCUCCUGGGUCUGACCAGCCCCUUCACUCGAUAACCAGUUACCCGUGUGGCCAGGUAAGAGAAGAGAACACAAGACAGAAAAUAGCAGGCCACCAACUAAAGGCAAAAAGGUAAUUAAUGUUACAGCCUUUUAGAUUCUAGAAAAUACUGCACUUAAAACUGCAAGUCAACUCAGCGGCUGUCUGCAACCGAUAAAUGCUUCCAUAUUCACAGGCAUCAGCAAUCUUCCUCUUACAAAAAAAGUAAUAAUACAUACAUAUUAAUGGAUCACAUUUUGUCCUUUGGGGAGCAUAAUUUUUAAAAGGGCCAAGGCAGCAAUAAUAGUUCCUUUAAAAAUUCUAAAUGCUGUAAUUGUUUUCUCUGAAUUAUGGUGCUAGGAUUUAAUUAGUGAUGAAUGUUCGGUAUGGGGUUUGGUCAUUUUUGAUGAAUUCAGCCAAACAGAAAA